UAACUGCUGCUUACUGCAAGGGGACUGAGAAGAGACUAUUUCUGUGCCUACAAAGAUGAAGGAAAAAGGAACAGCAAGAAUCGUUUUCUGAACCGUGCAAGUGGAGAAGACAUGACCAUUUGCCUGCUUUUGGGGCUGGCGGGUCAUGGACGCUUCAUGCAGCAUGGUGCUGGGCCGCAGAAGGAACAUGCAACUCUGUGGAUGACUGAAGAUGAAUCCUACAUUCGCAGAGACUUUUCCUUGUUGGUAAUCAGAUGUUUUUUCCAGGUAAGCAAUGUUCUUUUUAUAGUUCUCCGAAGUUUUGCUCUGCGUCUUCAGUGACAUACAUUCUCCUUGUAGAUAUGCAUGGGCUUUCAAGUAA